rnacentral:lncRNA from 1 species
AAAGUGCUGGGAUUACAGGCGUGAGCCACCGCACCUGGCCCAGACACUGUAAGUUUUGGGGAGGAUUAAAUGGGAUCAUCCAUGUAAAUGCGCCUAUCCCAGUCUCUAGCACACACUGAACACUCAAAAAUGGGAGGUUUUGGUAUUUCAGAAGAAAAUCAGGUGUCGGGGAGUGUUAGUAGUAACCUUGAACUAUAUGCAAAGACUAAAGCUAGGAAGAUAGGAAGAGUUUUACAAGAUCCUUUUGGCUAUAUAGUUAAAGUUAUUAGCAGUUAGAGUUUCCCUUACAGUUGACAAGUGAACCAUACAAGUGAAUGACUUGUGGUUCCUCAGAUAAAAGCACGAGUCAGAGUUGUAAUUUCUGUUUUGUGGACGUAAUUGUUGACCAAGUGCACUGAAGGUAGGGAUGGCCAGUAACAAAAUUAUAAAGCAGGCCUGUUUGUCUUCAAACACUCCUGAGUAAACUUGUCAUUUCCUUGUAAAAAUGCAAAAUAGACUACUGAGUAGAGGUGAUCAAUUACAGAAAUGCACUUACUUUGGCUUUCUUCUGAAACCUAAUAAAAUGACAGUAAAGGGAUUAUUUUUUUAAGGCAGAAACCCACAAUGAUGAUGAAAUUAGAAAGGAAGACAAGAACAACAAGGUUGUGGAAUUCAGAAGCCAUAUAGACAAGAGCUGGGAAAACGGCAAUGGAUUAAUAACAAGAAAUUAAUGGUGAAGUGGUGACGAAAAUUCUACAUUGCUUAGAAAGCAAGUAAGAAAAUCAGUGGUUGUAGAGAAGUUCUUACAUGAAGUAAUAAAAAUAAAAAUUGUUAUGUUAAGCAUUUUCUAUUUUCUUUUCCUCCCCUCCAAAUGAAACAGCAUACUAUUCUGCAUGUUUUUCUACCUAACAAUGUAUCUUUUUAAUGACUCUUGUAUUUUAAACCUAAAAUUUUGAUUAAGCUUCACUUAAUAUUAAAAAAGAUAGUAUAGGUCACGAUGUUAUUUGAUGCAAACGUUGGAAAGACAGAAUCUUCUUGAUCCAAGAGCUUUUAGAAUUCAAAGUCUGAUUCUGGUUAUUACUCUGCUCAUUUAAGAUAGUGAAAUGAACAUUUACAUUCUGGCAACCUCAGAAGUACAACGAACAAAGGACACCAGCCAGGUAGGGCAAAGGCCUGUGAACCCCCUUUUGCUGUUAAAUGUUUAUCAGAUGAGUGCUCUGUUUCUGUUAUAUUAUAUUGCUUUUCUCUCCAAUGUUUACUGAGGAAGAACAAGUAGCUCCUCAGGCAAGUCAACUGUUAACUUUGCAGUUUUUAUUUAAUCUCCCAGGAAUGUAACCCUUAACUUUAAAGAAUGUAGUGACCAUAAAACUUAUAAAGCAUGUUUCUUAAGGAAAUUGUACCUGUUUAUUUAAUCUAUCAGAUAUGAAUGUUAUAGAAAAUUAAAUUUGUCCACUUAAGCUGUAGAUGAACUUUUCACCUUUCUGAUCAGAAAUUCACCAUCUUAUAGUAUAGGUUCUGUUAUUAAUCAGAAUAUUUCAUUUAGACUCUUUCUAUCCAACUUUUUCUUAGAGGCUAUUCAAAAUAAAGGUGCUUCUAACAGUUUCAUAUCGAAAUACGAUGCAAAGCCUUGCUCUUCCAUGGUAUCCUUUGAGUGAGCCAAACUUAUUUAGCCAUUCCCCUAUAGUUAAAUAGCUAGGAUGUUUCCAACAUCUCACCUUUAAAACAAUAGUGCUAUGAAUGUCAUAAAUGUUUGUAUAUGUAAAUAUGUAGGAUAAAUCCCUAUCAGUAGAAUUUCAAAAGGUAUACGCAAUCAGUAUUUUCAUACAUAUUUAAAAUUUUCCAUCCAUACAAAGGUUGCUAACAUAUUUAUUUAAAAUUUUAAAAAUAAUUUUAUAUGCCUCUUGUAACCAGUAAUAGGAUGCAAAGUUUUUUUUAAGGUAACAUUGCUCCUCUUCCCCCAUUGUCUCUGUCAUCUAUAGUACUCCCUGAGGUAGUUCAUGUUAUUGCAAGGGUGUGUAUCAUCACAAACAUAUUGCUUCCACAUACAUAUAUCAGCAUACAUAUAUAUAUAUGUAUAGCAUAUAUAUAUAUGAGCACAUAUUAAUAUAUGCCCAUGCACAUACAAGCAUGUUUUUGUUAAUUUUUACUGAAAUGGAAUCAUACUGCAUACUUAUGAACAAAUUGCUUCUUUCACCUUAUAUCACUUAUAAUUGUUAUUCUACAAAUCAGUACAUAUAAAAAAUACAUAUUUACAUAUGUAAUACUCUAUCUUUCUGUUAUAAUUUUCUGCAUGCACAUGUAUGCAUAUACAUAUAUUCAUAAACAUAAAACUUAAUCUAAACGGGAUUUUUUUUGGGGGGGGUGAUAUGGUUUGGCUGUGUCCCCACCCAAAUCUCAUCUUGAAUUCCCAUGUGUUGUGGGGGGACCCGGUGGGAGGUAAUUGAAUUAUGGGGGCAGGUCUUUCCUGUGCUGUUCUCGGGAUAGUGAAAAAGUCUCACAAGAUCUGAUGGUUUUAAAAAGAUGAGUUUCCCUGCAUAAUCUCUCUUCUCCUGUCUGGUUCCAUGUGAGAUGUGCCUUUUGCCUUCCGCCAUGAUUGUGAGGCCUCCCCAGCCAUGUGGAACUGCCCAUAGGUGGAAGGGACUUGCCUUGUCUCAGAUGAGACUUUGGACUUUGGACUGUGGACUUUUGAGUUAACACUGAAAUGAAUUAAUGCUGAAAUGAAUUAAGACUUUGGGAGACGGUUGAGAAGCCAUGACUCAUUUUAAAAU